rnacentral:rRNA from 1 species
GGGGUGUUAGGGCACGACACCGGAGAGGGAGCCUGAGAAACGGCUACCACAUCCAAGGAAGGCAGCAGGCGCGCAAAUUACCCAAUCCCGACACGGGGAGGUAGUGACAAUAAAUAACAAUACAGGGUUCUUUUGGAUCUUGUAAUUGGAAUGAGUACAAUUUAAAUCUCUUAACGAGGAACAAUUGGAGGGCAAGUCUGGUGCCAGCAGCCGCGGUAAUUCCAGCUCCAAUAGCGUAUAUUAAAGUUGUUGCAGUUAAAAAGCUCGUAGUUGAAUUUCGGGAUCAAUGUUUCGGUCAUGCCGUUGGUAUGUACUGAUAUUAUUGGUUUCUCACCUUCUAAAGAACCGUAAUGCCAUUAAUUUGGUGUCACGGGGAAUUAGGACUGUUACCUUGAAAAAAUUAGAGUGUUUAAAGCAGGCUUACGCUUGAAUACAUUAGCAUGGAAUAAUGAAAUAGGACAUCCGAUUCUAUUUUGUUGGUUUCUAGGAUCGAUGUAAUGAUUAAUAGGGAUAGUUGGGGGCAUUAGUAUUCAAUUGUCAGAGGUGAAAUUCUUGGAUUUAUUGAAGACUAACUACUGCGAAAGCAUUUGCCAAGGAUGUUUUCAUUAAUCAAGAACGAAAGUUAGGGGAUCGAGGACGACCAGAUACCGUCGUAGUCUUAACCAUAAACUAUGCCGACUAGGGAUCGGAUGAUGUUAACUUU